rnacentral:lncRNA from 1 species
CUGCCUUGUGGCGCCAGACACACAUCCAACUGGCUUAUCCUAGGACAGGGGUCAAAGCCGCAAGGUGAACUAAGAAAGCAAAUUUUUGGUCAACAAGGGCUGUACUCGGCCACCCUCGACACAAGGUGAGUGUGGUGGCUUUGGAUCGUGUCCAUGUCGCUCAGCUGGAACUACCUUGCCCAGGGCGUCACCUGGAUGGUUUAAGGUAAGCGUUGGUCACAAGACAUUGCCUGAGACUGAGAAACAAAGCGAAAUAGUCAUGUUUUACCUUCAGAAGGUGGAUCCAGGGCAACAGAGCGUGGUGGCUUGUGCUCCCUGUUCCAGUCUGCUGCUCAGGGACCUAAGCUGCUGCAGCCUCUGCCAGGACCUCCUUCGGUGCGCAGGUGCAGGUCGUGCCACUGUGCUUUCCCGACAGGUCCGUGAUUCCCAUGGCUCCAGGGGUGGAGGUGGUGACACGGAUGCACUUCCAGUUUGUGCUUGGUCUUGUCCACAUCCAUCCUUUCUUCCUGACCGCCACCUGGCUGACCUCUGGUGACUCCAGGCUCAACACCAGACCCAGAGGGAACAGUUGGCAUAGCUUUCCCCACCAGCUCUCCCAUGUGGGGCCAAGUCUUGCCCCUGUAAUAAAUUCCUUGUUCUACAGCACCGCUGGCUCCCUCCCUGAGACUGUGGGGAAUCCCUGACUGGCGGGGCAUCCUCGCUCUGGGGACUUGAGUGGGGCCGUAGCUUGUCAGACUGUCCCAGAAAGUAGCACGUCUCAUACGUUGGUCUCAUAGAAUAUGGACUUCAACCGGGCCCUUGGGUCUGAAAGCCAGUUCCAGCACUCAGCAGCUGUGACUCGGCAGCCCAUCGCAUCCUCUGAGCCUCCUUUCCCUCAGGGUGUAAAAGGAAGGCAGCUGACGCCUACAUUUUGCAAUGGGCCGCCUCCCUCCUCUCUUCCUCUUCCCCUCCCUGUCCCCCUCUUUCUCAUUUCACUGGUUCUGCUGCAUGAGACCAAGAACGCUGAUAGAUAGGUCCCUUGUACGGAAUUAACGAGAUAAUAAAAUGCCUAAGUCAAAGCGAAUCCUUAUCAGUAAAUGGUAGAAAACAACAAAAUAAAACCUUUGCUAGGGGACAAGGGCGUUAGAAAUACCACGUUUCCUGGGUAACUGCUAAUUUACUGGGGCAAGAGGCUCAGCAGGAGAGAGCAUGUCACUCAGGUGGCCGUGGAGAUAGAAGGAAAUCCUUUCAAAAAAUCACCAUAGGUGAACACGUGCCCCACACGGAGCAGAGGCAGAGACUGGAGUGAGGCAGCCACAAGCCAAGGAACACCCAGAGCCACCAGAAGCUGGAAAAGGCUGGAAGGAUUCUCUCGCAGAGCCUUCGGAAGGAGCUCAGCCCUGCCAACAUCUACAUUCCGACUUCCCGCCCCUAGAACUGUGAGAAAAUACAUUUCUGUUGUUUCAGGCCACCAAGUUUGUGAGAAUUUGUUCCAGCAGCCCUAGGAAGCUCAUACAGUCUCUCUUCACCGGGGACCACAAUUUGUUCAAAACAACGACACCGGGCCCUUAGGCAGGAUGCCUGGAGGCGGGCCCUCUAGUGCUCUAGACGCUCCCAUUGGCUGGGCGGUGGCUCCACCCACCAAUGAGGAAGAUGCAAAGCCCCUGUCAAUCACCUCAAAGGAUCCUCCUCCGUGAGACGUGCCCAACAUCAUGAAUCCCAUCGCGGCCUUUCUUUAACUGGCAGAUGGCAGCUGACCUGGCAAAAGCCCGGAGAUAGACCAAUGCUUACAUAUUACCCAUUACACGAAUCCAGAGGAUGAAGUAAAAGAAUUGAGCUUUUUUAAAAAAAGAAAAAGAAAAAAAGCCCUAUGAUGCAGACAAAUCCAAUUCAGUCAGUUCCCACCUUUCAGCCUCCUGAGAUUUUUAAGGAGAAGGAAUACAGCUCCUUAGUUUUCUAUCCAUGUUGAAGAGGAUCAGAACACACCACCCCAAAAUAUGCCACUUUGGCAUAAGGCUCAUGUUGAGCUGAAGGCAAUGAAAAAAUGGCGGACACAGGAAGAGUUCUCUGCCGUCCUCGUUUCUACAUGAAUUUCCCUUUGUAAAGGUGUUCACCUCUCCCCUACCAGGCAGAUGGCACCGAGAUGAGUCUGCAUAACGGACCCUACUAAACAACCUUCUUCUGCCACACAUUUCCUAGUCACCUUCCCACAAUUGACAGUCCCAAGGAGCCCAAACUCCUUUUCCUUUGUCUCAUCACUUCUCCAUAAUUUCCCACCCUUUGUUAAAAUGGUAUUUAAACUCCCGAGUCUAACCAGUUCUUUGGGGUUUCACCUAUUUUCUGUGAUGCUCCUGUGCAGGUAAAAGUAGUAAAAUUUGUGUUCCUUUUCUACUGUUAAUCUAUCUUUUGUCAGUUUAAUUCACAGGCUCCAGGCACAGAACCUAAGAGGGAAGAGGAAAAGUUUUCCCUCCCUAGAUGAACUAUGGAUGGGAGAAUUAUAUUGGGGUGAAGAGCCCCACCUGCUGGGACCCAAGCAUCCAAAUGGACAGGCAAGGUCUACAGUGACCACAGGAACUACAAGGAAUGGUAAGAGAUCUUAACAGAUUGGCUGUUUGGAUGAUAGAAAAGGACAAAAAUUAGUUAAAACUCAAACUACCACUGGUCAACAAGCAAGAGCCUUCCAAAGAGAUAAUCAAAUAACCCAUACAGCAGGAUACAGUAUUUUUCUCAAAUCUCUUUGAAAGGAAUGAUUUCCCAUAAUUUUAAAAUUCAGGCUGGGGGCGUCGCAGGUUGGACAACCAUGUGUCAAUGCCAGUGAAAUAAAAUUCUUUUAAAGAUUACAGGAAGUUGGAUCAAUAAAGCUGAUAUCAAGGAACACAAGUCUUGAUGCUGUGACUGAUCGUUGGGGCAAGGACACACCUGGAAGUUCUUUUCCUUACUUUGAUGGAGGUUAGUGAUGAUCUGUAAAGACAAUAUCUCUACACUCAGGAUUGAUUCAAAACUAAUUACAACCCAAUUAUAGUCCCCUGGAUUUGGGCUCUAGGGAAAACAGUAAAUGCAACUGGACACGUUGGGGUGGAAUGGAUUUAGUCAAGAUAAUACGCGAGCCAGAUCAUAUCUGAUUUUUCCAAUACUGAGUUUUAACUAUUCACACUCAAGAAAGUAUUGCGUCUGGGGGGUUCCUAAUGCUGUGACUAAUCUGUGGGAUUGAUGACCGGAGUGCCAGAGGAAGGACACUGACACGGCACAGGUGGUUCUGUCAUGGUAGCAAUGAUCAAUUCAAACCCACCCGAUCACCGUGGAAACCACACGUGGUGGUAGUUAUUGGGGAUCAUGGGGAAUUUUCUGGACGAUCUACAAAUUACCAUGAUCAUCGCCACAGCUUGUAGUCACUUCCUUUUGGGCUAAUUGUACUUACCUACCACUUAUCUCUCCAUGAAAAAGAAAUUAACCUAUAAGCCAGGGACACUCCCCCAUCUCUUGCUCACACCCACGUGUAGCAAGCAGAUAUUUUAGUAGUAGGAUGAGGAGCCUUAUUUCAGGCCACAUGGGCUCUGUAAAAAUCCAAUUUGGUAAAUUUAUGGGCAGGGGUUAUUCCUCUGAGCAAAAUAGAGGCCAUGCUUGGGUAGGCUGGAUUGCGGCCCAAGACACACUCAGUUGUGCUGGCAGGUUUAUGACAUGGGAAAGGCUUGGCACUUGCAGCUCAGGCGGCCCUAAACUCUAUUUGCACCCGUUUGUUAAAUUUUCCCAGUGAAAUGUUCAUGUAUUCGUUUGUCAAGGAAUUAUUGAACAUCUACCCUGGGCUGGACACCGUGCCAGGUGCCGACAUGGAGAAAAGGACUAGCCACUGGCCCUGCCCUCUUGGAGCUGACCUGGUGGGGGACACAGGAGAUCAACAAGCAAGAAGUGCACAGCACACGUGAGAUUUUCAGAGAGCGACGCGAUGUGGCCCACGAGGAAAAUGAGCAGUGAGAUAUGGUGAAGUGUGAUGGGGCCGGGGAGCCUAUGUGAGACAGGCUGGUCAAGGAGAGCUUCCUGGAGGAGGAGGCACAAACUGAGGCCUGAAGGAUGAGAAGGAGUUAAGCACAAGAGUGUCUGGGGACGGGCUUGUGCCAGGCCAAGGGGCUUAACACCCAUCGGGAAAGUCUCUGAAGGAAAAGGGUUAGGGUGUGCAAGCGGUCCCAGGGGACAAUGCAAUGCAUACAUGAUCCUUAGCAGAUCCUGGAUUUAGAAAAACAGCUCAGGAGAACAUCAUUUGGGCAAUUGGCAAAGUCCAACUAUGGAUACAUAUGGAUAAGAGUGCUGUGUCCAUGUUAAAUCACCCGAAAAUGAGCCCUGGCUCUUCAGAGAUACCACCAAAGUCCUGGGAGGCAAAGGGCCUUGAUGUCUGCAACUAACUCGCAAAUGGUUCAUAAAUUACUUACACCCACGUGCGCAGACACACACAUACACACAGAAAGAUAAAAGCAAGUGUGACCACAACGUUAACCGUUGGUGAAGUCAAGUAGAAAGCAUAUGGGCAUUCAUCAUAUUGUGCUUGCAAUGUUUCUGUAGGUUGAAAUUCUUCAAAACAAAAAGUUGAGAGAUGAAACAUUGGAUCAUGGGCUCAGCAUCUACGCUGGGUCGGGUAAGACAACCCUCUAGAAAUCCCGACCCAGCUGAAGUCUGCAGAGCGGGUAGAGCUCCCGGGUUAAGGGCACAGGGAGGAACACUGGCAAGAGGCAGGUGGUUCAGGAUGGCCUGGGGUUUGGGGGGCCUGCAGGGGUCCGCAGGAGCUGGACCACGUACACAGAGUGGGGAGUACCUGCCGUGCCACCUGCUCCUCUGCUGUGUGGCCUCGCCUCACUCCCCCCUCUAGGGUGGGGUCUCUCCCCAUCCCUGUGACUCUGGGAGCAGUCCGUGACUGCUUCGGCCAACAGAAUACAGUGAAAGCGAUGCUAUGCCGGCUCUCGGAGCUGGCUGUCACAUAAGAAGUGCCCCUUGCCCUGAGAGCACCAGGCUGCAGGAGGCCCAGGCCACAAGGCCCUGGAGAACAAGAUGCCACACGGAGAGAGAGGCCAGGGAGCACCAAGGCGAGCGAGGAAGCCAUCGUUGAAGCAGAGCCUGGGUUUUAAACGCCCCAGCUGAAGCCACGCGGAGCAGAGGAGCAGCCCUGCAGAACCCUACCCAAAUUCCUGACCCGCAAGACUGGGAGCAAAGUAAAAGUUCUUUUAAGCCACUAAGUUACAGGCUUGUUUAUGAGGCAGCAACAGCACCUGGGACCCUAUUAGAGACCGGUAGUCUGUGUUAAGAAGUUUGGUCGUUGUCUUGGGAGUAGUGGGGAGCCAUUGAAGGUUUCAGUCCAGAUGGGUGACGGGACAAGAUUGAGGAGAUGACUCUGCUUGCCAGCAGGGUGAAGCUUUCCAGAACAUUGCAGCAGCAUGCAGACACAGAGAGAACCUUCAGGGUUGUCGAGAGGACCAGAGCGUAAGCAGCAGGCGGAUUCCUGGGAGGGACCUCGGGUGGUCCAUGGAACUUCCGUGUGCUAGAGAAGGCUCAGAGAGGGGCAGAGAAUCCAAGAGACGGAGACUGACGGAGACGGAGCGAGAUACGUUUGCUGGAGGGAACAAACACCAACUGGGUUUUCCAUCCUCACCGAGCCUCGGAGAGAAAUGUUGAUGGUCUGGCUUGGGUCACCUGCCACCAGACACCCUGACUGACCUGCCCAUCAGAUUGCCCACAGGGAGGCAGAGAUGACUCCAAAUGGAUCUUGGGGCGUUGUUACUAAAGCAAGGAGACUACAUAUAAGACGGCCAAAAAAAGCAAUAAAUCUCCACAUGAUUAACAGGUCUUUUGAAAACCUGUGGACCAUGAAUAAGUGUGAUUUCCUUCCUUUUUUAAAUUUAGCAUUUUGGGUUGGACUAUACUGAAGUCAGGUCAUUGCAUUUUCAGACCACCUCCGAGGUCCACUCUGUGUUUGUUGUGCUCAGCAAGGCAAAGAAGAGAGCCAGGAGAGAAGGAAGUUCAGCAAACUACGAUGACUUUCUCACGUACAAUGAAACAGAACGGCAGUUUGAAUCUGAAACCAGAUGAGCUGCUGGCGAAAUCUGGCAAGUUGUGCAUUUUGCCCCAUCUUGCCCGCUGGUUCUCUGCUGCCUUGCCCAGAAAACAAGCCAAGCAAGAUGGAGGCUGGACCUGGAGGCUGAGUCAUCGGUCCUUUGAUAGGCACUCUGGUUAUUGUGUCAACUCACCCACGGGCAGGGAGGCAGGAGCCAGCAGGCCACACCUUGUCAAGCAGCAGGCGGCAGUUCUCAGAAGUCUGUGUCUGCAGUUCCUGCUAAAAGCCCCGGAUCCCAGCUUGGAACCCCCGGCAGCCUGAGUCUCCCAUUCACCCCCUAGGAAAGCCCUUCCACUCCAGCAGCUGCCCCACGCGCUGGCUCUGCACCUUCCUGCUCUCCCUGGUGCCUCUCCUCCCAGAAUCCCCGGUGAGCUCAGCCAUCACCUCCUUGUUCCCCCUCCCCGAGCCCCUGGCAACCACCAGUCUACUUUCUGUUCCUGUCAAUUUGACUACUGUAGAUACCUCACGUAGGAGGCAUCAAGAGUAGAAACAAUUCAACGUCCAUUGACAGAUGAAGGGAUAAAGAGAAUGUGGUAUGUCCAUACAAUGGAAUAGUAUUCAGGCAUAAAAAAGAAGGAAACCCUGUCACAUGCUACAACAUGGGUGAACCUGAAGGACAUUAUGCUCAGCGGGGUAAGCCAGUCACAGGAGGUGGCGUACUGCAGCGUCCUGACUGUCACUUGGUUGCACCUGAGUUCUAACAUGGAGCAGAGAGGUUUUCCACCCCCAGCUGCACAUUAGAAUCACCUGGAGAACUCUACCUUCUACACGCAGGCCACUCCCCAGACCAAUUAAACGGCUACCUUUGUGGGAUCCCGGCUUCAGAAGCUUCCCAAGUGGGUCCAGCAUGUGGCAAGAUUGAGAACCCAGGAUCUGGAGUCAGAAAAUCUAAUUUCAAACCUUGAAUCUGCCACUUACUUGAUAGGUGGACUUGGGCCGGUGACUCGACAGUAAUAAGAGAUUAAUAGCCCUCACUGAGCACUCACUGUCUGCCCCUGCAGUCGCUGCUAUGGCUGUUCCCAUUUUACAGGAAGCAGAGGCCCAGAGAAAUCGAGCAGUUGGCCCGAGGUCACACAGCAGGGAAAUGCUGCGACGAGGUUUGAACGUAGGCAGCCAGCUGAGCAGGGUAGAGUUAGCCAUGGCCCAGGAUGGCUCAAUGAUUCUAGUGAGGGAUCUCCUCACCAUCCGGACAUCACACCUUAUUCUGAGAAGGUCUGAGGGCCUUUCAGGGUCCUUUUUUCAGGACAAAAGACCAUCCACCCCAGGCUGCAGUAGGAUGACAAAGAGGAAAAGCAGGCUUCCGGAGAAUGCAAACCUAAACACAGCUAAGAGGAUAGAGGGUGGCAGCCGCCUUGUUAUCACCCCAUCCCCAUCUCCAACUCAGGGUCAGACCAGGAAUGUGGACGCCCUCCUGCCUCUCAGCUCUCCAGCAGCGCCCUGACCCUCCAUUCCUUUCUGGACGAGGCAGCAACACGUCACAGCCAUUUAACCUCCCCUCCCAGCCAAAAGAAAUCUGUUCUUUAAGGGAACCCGGAGCCAAGGUCAAGUCACACCUCUCUUUCCUCACCUGUGUCCAAGCCCGUGGUGAACCCACACUAUGGUCCUGCUACCGACACAGAGAAGCCACUUCUUCCUGUUUCCUCUGGUCUCUGUUCUUGUUGAUGACAAAUUUUGAGCAGAUGUGCAGCUUAAACUUUGGGACCAGGAACGUGCUGUGCUGCUGUCCUGUGCGGUCAGAGAGUCGCCAAGGGCUGAGGCGGGUGCGCGGUCGUUGGCUCUGCCCUGCUUCCCUCCCACUGGGCCAGCCGCCUUCACCAGCAAUUUCCAGCAGCGCCCUCGCUGCCUCCACCGUAUUUCCUGGUAUAUAAAACCCUACGGCAGGGGUUCCCAACCGCAGGCAAUUUUGCCUCCCCUCCCCGGUGGACAUUUGGCAAUGUCUGGAGACAUGUUUGAUGGUCACAAUUCGGAGGUGAGAGGGGUGCUACUGGCGUAACAGGGGCAGUGAGUGGAGGCCAGGGAUGCUGCCAAAUCUCUGACAGCCCCCACAACAGAGAAGCAUCUGGCCCCAAAGUCAACUGUGCCAAUGCUGAGAAACCCCG